CCUCUGGCCACCCACGUGGUCCAAACAGUCCUGUCACAGAGAGGUGAAGAAGUCCUCUUAUGUCCUGCGCCUCCUUUGGACAGAACUGGUGCAGACCACAUUCAUCAAGCAGAAAAACCUCGGCUAGGAGAUCCUCGAAACACACAGAGAAAGAUAACACACAAAGAAAAAAGCCUCACUUGGAAAGCUUUUGGGUUCUAUCACCAGAACCCACGGCCAAAUGACCUCCCUGGAUCACAAGGUCCCCGGCUCUAAGGGCGAGACUGUAUGUCACGCAGCCAGUCACUCCACAGCAAGUCUGCAUCCAUCUCCACUGCAGGCUAUGCUCCUCCAGUCCUGCAGUGUGGCGUCCACGCCCGGCACAGAGGUCAUGGCCAGGGCUUCAUGGGGCCCGGGAGGAAGACUGCAGGCUCGCCUUUAGGGUGACCUGUCCGGGGGCUGCUGUCAUGCUGGGGACGCUGAGUUACUCACCAGGAAGUCACCUCUGCGGGACUCAGACUGCUCAGGGAGGGCCUGGGCCUGGCCUCCGAUGGCAGCUGCCCCGAGCACACUUCCGGGAAGCCACUCCUGGGACAUCCUUACUUCCUGCUCUCUGCCCAGAGUCUGGAAGGAAGAUGAGGCCUCCUCGGUGGCAGCAUCCAGCUGUGCCUCCCUCUUUCCUGGCCUUCAGCCUGCCUCACCCCUUCCACAGACUCUUCCCUCCUCCGGCCUGGGGUCUUGGUUCCCAGAGCGGGAAGGACCCGGCCCUGCCCACCAGCCUCCUGGCUCCACACCCAUCGCUGGGUCUUCCGCAGAUUGUCUUCAUCCCCUGGCACAAUUGGAGUUCCAGAGAGAGCAAACCGUCUGGGGAGCACUGCGUGGAGCCCCGGACUUCAGGCCCCGGCAAAGGGGAGUGCUCAAUGACCUGAGUCUAUCCUUGUUCGUGGCAGAGUAGUGCUCCACUGCAUCUAAGCACUACAUCCUCUUUAUGCAUUCAUCUGUCGGUGGACACCUAUACGGCAGGAAGAGAGAUCUUUCGCAAAUGAGGAGAGAACCAAGAGAUGAAGAAGAGGGGAGGGGAGAGAGGAGGGGCGGAAGGUGUGUGAUGCACACGGGCCAGCACCCCACAGUGAACGCAACCACGCACUCAAACAUGGACUGAAAAAAUAAAAGUUUGAAAUGAGCCACAAAGACUCCCGACCCGACCCGCGGGCCGUGUGACCGUCAGUGCGUGUUGCAAUUGGCCCUGAGUCUGGGGCCGACGUGCAGCUGUCCCUCACAGAUGUACUCCCCCCCCCCACAUCACUCCAUCCUGCCUGCCAGGGACCAGCCUCUGGGUGACACAGCCGGCAUCAGGGAGGAGGUGUCAGCGGCGGCCGGAAGAAAGCUGAGAUCCUACUUCCCUCCAAAUGGGAGUGGGUGUUGCUAUCCAGGAGGUCUUUAGCUGCUCCCGAAGUAUCGCAGGUGAUGAUGGGCCAGAAGAGAACAUUUUUUAACCCUCAGGGUAGGUCUGACAUAAGGCAGGGGGGCAGACUACACGGUCCUCGUGUUAAAGUUUUUAGUUUGCUUGGAAAUAACCACCCAGCACGAUCUCCUGAGCACUCACUCCAAGCAGAGUGUUGGUCCAGCCCGGGGCUUGGUCAUCCCUGAGCCAGGGCCGGUGCUUCAGGGGACAGCCACCAGCACCCUCCACAGAGAAGCUGAGACUCGGAGUCCCACGGCCGGCCAGCAGGGGGCAGGAGUCCACAGCAGGCGCCCCAGCUCCAGAUCCAGGUGCUUAAACACUGUGCCGUUCAUUUUGGUGAGCGAGGAGGAGGAGGAAAUGUUCCCCAUACUCCCAACACCUGGGAGCGACCACAAAUAAUUCUGAUGUUUUUCGUAACAACACAGAGCUCACACUACACACACAAAUGUGUGUCCUGCGCCUGUGUUUCUCAGUCGACACGCUAUGGGUGUCUUCUGCAAGCGCCGGAAGCAGGCAGGCCACCCUCAGGAUGUGCUUCGAGUCCCAGGUCCUCCCCUGCAGCAGACAACUGCAGGCGCUGUGCAGAGCGAUCCUGAGUCCAGCUGCCCAUCGGGGUGGGUACACAGGGCUCUUCCCGUGUUUGGGAUUUUUGAGUUGCAGUGGAUCCCACCUGGCGUUGUGGCCAGAACAGAGGGUGCAGAGCCCCCAGGAGGCUCGGAAGCCGGAGGGAGGGGACCCGCUGUCUGGAGCCAGGUGCCCCUCAGCGACAUCCCUCCUGAUCAGGCGCUUCACAAAGACAAGAGGACUACUUGCUUUCAGAAGGCUGGGAUUCUGUUGUCUUCAGUAGCGGAGCCUUCUUCCGGAAGCUGUAAAAUUUCAAACCUAAUGCCUGGUAAACUCCUCUAGUGCUUGCGUUUCUUAAACUGCCUCAAGGCUGUAGCCGCAGCCCUUUGCGUUUUUUAUUGUUUCUUUCGGAGCUGUGCGUUUGUGAGUCCUUGUGUGCAGUGUGUCAGGAUCACGCUCAUCCCAGGGAGUCGGUCCAUGCGUGGAACCCACCCUAAUCCCCUCUGCGUCCGCCCCCUCUCUCUGUCUCUCACUCCCCAUCCCUUUCCCAGAAGACCUGUCUCUCUGCGUCCCACUCUCUGGCUUGCAUUUUGCUCUGCUAAGCCGACCUCUCCUGGCCACCUGCCUCUUGGUUCUCACUGGGCUCCACCAUGCCCCCCAUUUCUCUAGAUCCUCAAAGGAACAAAAAAGUCCUUAAUCCCAUAAACACAAAACUAUACUUUUUUAGGAAAAAUAAUUGAAACGAAUUUUUUUCCACUGUGAUGGCUAAAUGACCCAGGAAGAGCAGGUGGCUUUCCGUCUUCUGCUGCUGAGCCUCAAGUCAGGGUGGCCGAGCUGGACGUUAGCUUGGGAAAGGCCAGGCCUGACCAUGGCACUGCCAGCAUGCACCAGACA
ensembl:lncRNA